rnacentral:rRNA from 1 species
ACAAGCUACUAAGGGCGCACGGUGGAUGCCUUGGCAGAAUCAGGCGAUGAAGGACGUGGCAAGCUGCGAUAAGCUUCGGGGAGCCGCACACAGGCGUUGAUCCGGAGAUUUCCGAAUGGGGAAACCCACAUGAGUAAACCUCAUGUAUGACCCGCUGAAUACAUAGGCGGGCUCAAGCGAACGGGGGGAAGUGAACCAUCUCAGUACCCCCAGGAGAAGAAAGAAACCUCGAUUCCGAGAGUAGUGGCGAGCGAAAUCGGAUGAGCCCAAACCCGUUCCAUUUCGGUGGCACGGGGGUUGUAGGGCCUGCAACAAGUAGAGUUACCAAUCCAGUAGAUAGUCAAAGCCCUUGGAAAGGGGCCCCAUAGAGCGUGACAGGCGCGUAGACGAAAUUUAUCUGGACUCGAAGCAGGUACCUGAGUAAGGCGGGGCACGAGAAACCCUGCUUGAAUCCACGGGGACCAUCCCGUAAGGCUAAAUACUCGAUUCUGACCGAUAGUGAACCAGUACCGUGAGGGAAAGGCGAAAAGCACCCCAUUGAGGGGAGUGAAAAGUACCUGAAACCGUGUGCCUACAAGCAGUGGGAGGACUAUGCCCGUAAGGGAAUGUCUGACCGCGUGCCUAUUGCAUAAUGAGCCGGCUAGUUAUUCUUGUCAGCAAGGUUAAGCGUGAGCGAGCCGCAGCGAAAGCGAGUCUGAAUAGGGCGAUAAGUUGGCAGGAAUAGACGCGAAGCGGGAUGAUCUACCCUUGGCCAGGUUGAAGAUGGGGUAACACCCAUUGGAGGACCGAACCGGUGUUUGUUGAAAAAAGCUCGGAUGAGCUGAGGGUAGGGGUGAAAGGCUAAUCAAAUUCCGUGAUAGCUCGUUCUCUCCGAAAUAGCUUUAGGGCUAGCCUCGGGUGAUUUGCGUUGGUGGUAGAGACAUGAUUGGACUAGGGGGCUUUCCGGCUUACUGAAUCCAGCCAAACUUCGAAUGCCAAUGACAACCAGCCCGGGAGUCAGACUGUGGGGGCUAAGCUUCACAGUCGAGAGGAAAACAGUCCAGACCGCCUGCUAAGGUCCCCAAAUUAUCGUUAAGUGGGAAAGGAAGUCGGAACGCUCAGACAGCCAGGAGGUUGGCUUAGAAGCAGCCAUCCUUUAAAGAAAGCGUAAUAGCUCACUGGUCAAGCGGUCCGGUGCCGACAAUACAACGGGGCUAAAACGAUAUACCGAAGCAGCGGAUGCACACCUAUGGUGUGCGUGGUAGGAGAGCAUUCUCGCGACAAUGAAGGUAGACUGAGAAGACUACUGGAGUUUCGAGAAGAGACCCUGCCGGCAUAAGUAGCGAUAAUCAGUGUGAGAACCACUGACGCCGAAAGUCUAAGGUUUCCUGAGGAAGGUUAAUCCGCUCAGGGUUAGGCGGUCCCUAAGCCGAGGCCGAAAGGCGUAGGCGAUGGAUAUCCGGUUAAUAUUCCGGACCUCCCAAUACCUCGUUAUUACGAUGGGGUGACACAGAAGGAUAAUCAGGCCCUCCUAUGGCUAUGGGGGUUGAUACACGUAAGCUGGAUCCGAUAGGCAAAUCCGUCGGGUCUUAACAGUGAGGUGUAAAACAGUAAGGCGUAUGCCUGAAAGCUGAUGAGUUCACGCUGUCAAGAAAAACCUCUAAGGAGAGGGAUUGGGAACCGUACCACAAACCGACACAGGUAGACGAGGAGAAUAUCCAAAGGCGCUCGAGUGAAGGCUUGUUAAGGAACUCGGCAAAUUAGACCCGUAACUUCGGGAGAAGGGUCGCCACGGUAGGGUUUAUAGCCCGAAGUGGCCGCAGUGAAACGCGUACGGCGACUGUUUAACAAAAACACAGGUCUCUGCAAAGUCUAAAACGACGUAUAGGGGCUGACUCCUGCCCGGUGCUGGAAGGUUAAAAGGAGGGGUUAGCGCAAGCGAAGCUCUGAAUUGAAGCCCCAGUGAACGGCGGCCGUAACUAUAACGGUCCUAAGGUAGCGAAAUUCCUUGUCGGGUAAGUUCCGACCUGCACGAAUGGAGUAACGAUCGUACGACUGUCUUAACGAGUUGCUCGGCGAACUUGUAGUACCGGUGAAGAUGCCGGUUACCCGCAGCUAGACGAAAAGACCCCGUGCACCUUUACUAUACUUUUACUAUGGGUUACGGCAUUUGCUGCGCAGGAUAGGUGGGAGGCUUUGAUACCGGGAUUUCGGUUUCGGUGGAGCCAACGGUGAGAUACCACCCUGCGAAUGUUGUGACUCUAACCUCCUUCCCUUAUCGGGAAGAGGGACAUAGUAAGACGGGUAGUUUGACUGGGGCGGUCGCCUCCUAAAUUGU